rnacentral:lncRNA from 1 species
CCCACUACUUCUAGGCCAGGAAUAUGAGGCCGAAACUCGUCAAAAGGGAUACCAAAAACUCGAAAACGAGCCGACACCCUUCGACUUCUCCCCCUCCGACGUGGUGCAGGAAAAAAGGUACUCCCUUUUCUUUUCUUUUUAAAUGUUUUCUUUAUUUGCUGGUGUAGAGAGAAAAUAAAAAAUAAAAACAAAUAAAAAA